AUUCUCCACUACUUCCUCACUGUUGAUCUUUCUCUCUUCACUCUUUCUAUGUGUUCAUCUUCUCCCUUCUCACAGUUCGUCUUCUUCUAUUCUCUUUUCACUGUUUAUCUUCUGAAUUGGUUCAUCUUCUCUCUGCUGUUCCUUCUUUUCCUCUGUGUUUAUUCCUGAUUUCCUUCCUCACCAAUCGAAUCGGAAACUGAAUCGUUAAUCAAACGGUUCAGUUCCGAUUCAUGUUAUGAUAUGAAUCACAGAGGAAGAAUUUUGUAACGAAUCGAGAUUUUCCAAUCGUAAUGUAUAUUCUAACGAUUCUAGCUGAACUGCUUUGGCUAUAAACCCAUUUUUUUCGCUUCAUGUAAUAAUCAAAGUAGGUCUUCUUCUCUACCUUCAAACAGGGGUGAAGUGUGUGCCACCUUCUAUUUAUCGGCCUGAUUAUAAUCUUAGACAUGGAGAAGAGUAUUAAACUAAAUCUUCCUCCUAUCUCCCUCUUGGAUUUGCCUGAAUCCACCUUGGAUUUCAUUCUCAAGUGCCUUUCUCCAAUGGACCUUUGCAGAAUGUCAAAGGUGUGUGUUUUGUUGAAGGGUAAAUGUGAAAGUGAUGAGUUUUGGGAAAAUCACAUAAAAGAGAAAUGGGGAAGAGUGAUUGGUGAUGCUGUUUACAAGGAGUGGGAGUGGCACAUAGCAAUUGCAAAAGAUGGAGUUUUGUUGAACAAUCAACACACCAAUCAAACUGGCUCAAUGGGUUCUUUUUCUGGUGUUUGGCCUAACCUAUGUCUUGGUUCAUACUUAGAACAUUUCAAGCUCCUCAAUGGUAAAAACUCAAACAACUUUAUGAUGUCUUUGUAUUUCUCUCUAGAGACUGGUAGCUUUUGGUUUCCUGCUCAGGUCUACAAGGAACUGGUGAUUUACAAUGCGUUGGUUAAGUAUGACUCACAAUCUAAUACUUUUCAAGCAAGGUAUCAAAAUAGAGAUUGGGGAUUUCUCGGGAGGAACAUUGAGUGGGAUAUGGUGAGAGCUCCCGCAGUUGAUACUCCUCCAUAUGUUGUCCAUGUCUCUCAUUGUUCACACAACUUGAAACCAGAGGAUCAUGUUGAGAUUCAAUGGAGACCAGAUACACAAUCUCCUUAUGAUUGGUGGUAUGCUGUUAUUGGUCACUUGGACUCAUGUAAUCAAAAUUGUUGUCGGUGUCAUUACAGCGAUACGUUGAUAGUGGAGUUCAGGCAAUACCCUGAAGAAUCAGACUCUAGACGAAUAAAGUUGUGUAGGAAGAAGAAUGAAGAACAAAGUGAUCAAAUAGAAGGCUACUAUGGGGGAAUUAGAAAGCUUGAGAAUGAGGAUGAGAUUGAAACAUGGAAGAGGCUCUUCCCACUUCAAAUUCAGUUUCAGGAUGACAUGGAAGACUUUGAUGAUGUUGGCUCCUUAGAGGAUAGUGUGGAAUCAUUUCACUCACAUGAUGACAUGGAACACUUUGGAGAUGUUGACUCCUUAGACGAUAAUGUGGAAUCAUUUCUCUCACAGGAUGAUGGUGAUGGAACGAACCCUUCUGAGCAUCAUACAGAUGCUUCGCAAGGCUUUACCUUCGGUGAAGUUGGUUCUAUGCGCAACAGCAACAGCAAAGUUGUUUGCUGUCAUUUCUCUUCAGAUGGAAAAUUAUUGGCUAGUGCCGGAAAUGACAAAAAGGUUGUUGUGUGGAACAUGGAGACACUGCAAACAGAGAGUACAGCAGAGGAACACAGUCUUACUGUUACUGAUGUUCGCUUCAGACCGAAUUCAACUCAGCUGGCAACAUCUUCGUCUGAUUCAACUGUUCGUUUGUGGGAUGCUGCUGAUCCAUUGUUUUCCUUACAGGUACAUAUUGGUCAUACUUCACAUGUGGCGUCCCUUGAUUUUCACCCAACGAAAAAUGAUCUUUUCUGUUCCUGUGAUGAUAUCAAUGAGAUUCGUUUCUGGAAUAUUAACCAAUAUUCUUCCAUCCAAGGUUUUAAGGGAGGAUCUACCCAGGUGAGGUUUCAGCCAAGGGUUGGUCACCUUCUGGCUGCAGCAAGUGGGAGUUUUGUGUCUCUCUUUGAUGUUGAGACUUGUAUGCAGAUGCAUACAUUUCAGGGACACUCUGCCGAGGUACAUUUCGUGUGUUGGGAUCCAAAUGGAGAUUACUUGGCAUCUGUGAGUGAAGAAUGUGUGAAAGUGUGGUCAAUUGCAUCUGGGGAGUGCAUUCAUGAACUUAAUUGCAAUGGGGAAGCCUUUCGUUCUUGUGUUUUUCACCCAAUCUACUCAACUCUCUUGGUUAUUGGAGCAUACCAGAAACAGCAGCUUCCUCUUCCCCUCUGAUCCCCUACAAGGUGCUCUGCUAGGGCACAAUCUUCUUCCAUCCUGAGUUAACAAAAAUCGACCCUGUACCUCCUGCUCACUGCUCUAGCCCUUGGAGCUGAAAUACUUCUUAGUUGCGGGUUUAUUUCGUUUUAGCAUCUAAGCAAGAUGAGAGGGAGGUUUGAGAUGGAUCUGAGAAACGGAGUGGUGCGGCCUAGAUUCCCUGUCUGGAUGUCUUAGGAGUAGUUUCAUGGCCAUGAGGCCUUUUGUAUUAGUUGCCUUGAGGGCAACCCUUUUGCAAGACUGUUAAACUUUUAAAAAUUUCCUUUUGCUUAGGGCUAUGUGGUAUGCCUAAGUUUCCUUUUAAGUACUUCAGGAUGACUGUAAUAGUUACCUUUCGUACGCUUCAUGUUCAUCUGAGUGCUUCUCGUUAUUAUAACUGUGUGAUGUUUUAUUUAGUAAUGUAAUCUAUUAAAAUGGGAUGUCA